ACUGGAUCUGGCCUACUUUUAUCAUGGUAUUUCAGCUUCUUGGCAGCAGAAGUCAUGGGAUGAGAAGACCAACCUUCUAUCUCAGAAGUCAAGGGUUUCCAGGAAUACUGAUCCUGACUGGCUUAUCAAGGCAAUGGAUUAUGACGUUUGACUCUCAGCAUUUCUCUUGUGAUGCCAUUCCUCUCUGAACAGCCCAGCAGAGCUGUGAGAGGCCAUAGCAGUGCCCUCAAGUCAGAAAGGAAGAGCAGGUUGCGACCAUCACUCAGAAAACAGACUCAGGCUGAUGGAAGAUGUUCUCAUUGGGAUGGUGUGCCCUUUCCUGCUCUUGUUUAAUGGAACCUCCA